AACAUGUUAAUGCAAUUCGUUCGUUUUUUGGGGGAAAUUUCUCCCAAAAUUUGACCUACUUACUUUUACUUGUGUGUGACUAGCAGUUUGACGACACUACAACGGCCAUUCAACCAAAAGAAGAUAGGAAACCCCCCCGAAAAUAAAAGGGAAGAAGAAAAAGGAUUUAUUUCUUUACUCUGAAGAUCGACGCAAAGAUGCCAGAUGCCACCGUGGAGCGGGAUCAAGUAGAACAAAGAAUCGGGACGACGGCGGGUGCUGCCGGCCCGCUUUUUACGACGGUGCGUUCCGUUCGACGUCGCGUGCCUCCUAUUACGCCUCGAGAGGAUCCGGGACUUGUUGAACGCUCCGUCUUCCGGAUGACUAAAUCCGCUCCAUCUUUGCUGAAAUAAUGAAAGAAAAAAGGAAAAAGAAAUUUUCGUGAAAGAGCCUUGCUGAUGGACUCACGCAGCCAUUGAUUGAUCAAUUUUCUGCAGUUGCUCAUCGAUCUUUUCUGCCGACUGCCAAGAGUCUCUCGAGUUGUUGUUUAUACCGUUGCUGGGUGGUGAUGAAUGAAUCAUCAACUUUUAUAUGUGUGUGUGUGUAGUACUACCUUGGAUAUUUCUUGUUGGCGGUCGAUUGAGGCGAACUGGACGUAAUUUGGGGCGCCGAACGGCCGGUCCAGUGAAAGCCCAUCGUUGGGUCGGAUUGGGGUUGUUGCUGCUGUUGUUGUUGUUGUUGUAUUGGAUGCGUUGCGCUUUGGCAGCAGGUAGGAAUUAGACGAAGAUGGAGUCCGGCCUGAUAAUUUACCACCGGCGGUCGAUGAUGACGCCAGCGGAUUCAAAACGAUCCGCGCCACCUGGGCGAAAAUGAUAAAAUUUCAUCCGUGAAAGGAAUUUCUUUAAAAUAAAGUUGUUAUCAACUAAGCCGCGAAAGUGGAUUAGACAAACAAAAGUCUCAACAAACAAGUUGGAGUUGUGUUGGCGCAAGGAAGUUUUUUGGUGUGUUCCACAUCUUCCGCCCGCGUGACGGAAGCGCCGACAGCUGGCGCCAGUUCCGACCGAACUUAUCGCACCUGCUGCUGCUGUUUGCCGUGUGUGACCUUAUUUAGAUUCGCGACUCAACUUUCAAUCCGACUUGCUGUUGUCUGGAGGGGAUUGCCGAAUGGAGAAACUUGAUUCAAUUAAAAGAUAACACGCGCUCGCCUCGUUGGACCCUACCCUAGUUCAGUUGAAUGUUCCGUCGUCACGGGCGGAUCCUGCAGACGUCCAUUCAAAAUCCCAGGCAGUUUCAUUCCAGCCAUAAAAGCGGGUCUUAUACAUUUAUGUUUGUAGUUUACACACACUGGGUAGGACCAUUUAGAAUAGAUCCGUUUUGCCGGAGGGAGUUAUAUGUAGUGUAACCACAGCGUGAGUGAGAGAGAGAGAGAACGGCGUGUGUGUAUAAUAAAAACACGUUGCGAUCGUAAUAUUGAUCCUGCUGUACGCAGCACAUCAUAUGCAGACUCUGGAACGCCCCCGGCUUGUACAUAUGGAAUCUCUUAUAUGUAAAUCUCGCUGAGCUGCUAUUGUAAAAUUCUUCCACUAUUUCAAUAAUGCCGUUCACCAUUUUCGUGAUACAAGAACCUCGAGUCCCGUGAAUUUAUCAGCAGCUCGCUACUUUUUUUCCAAAAUGAAAAUUUCACCGGAAUUAUUUUUUGGAUACAUCUUUGAUAGUAAUCGGAUGGGUUUUCUUUUCUGUCGUGUUGGUAGACAUAUCGGGCCUGGAAAGAAAAUUCCCGCGGCCUAAUAAUAACGUGUCACGACAUGCGAGCAUAUUAUAGAGCUAUAGCAUAUAUAGAUAUGUGUGCGCGUUGAUAUCUUACGGUUUUGUUAAAGAGCCAAGUAAGCCGAUGAGUUCCGUUGCUGCGCUGGGCGAUGGCGUCGAUGGAACUGACGUUGUAGUCGAUCCUCUCCCAGUAAUCAGUGAAAAUGGACGCCGACAAAGCCUCCAAUUAUUUUAAAAAAAGAGAAGAAAAGAGAAAAAUUGAUUAUUGUGUCAAAGGGGAGAAAUCACAGUAGUGGAUGAGGGAUCUCUUUUGUCAUGCAUGGAAGAGUUGGUGAUGCAGUGGUGGGAGAUCAUUACAGCCGUGCCAAGAAGAGUGAACGCCACGGUGAUCAUUAAACAUCCCAACGUAGGCCGACAUCGCUGAUGACGGCGACUCGACGACAAUUGGCGCUGAUGGAGACCGUGACGUUUCAGAUGAUGAAACGAGUCCAAUCCCGACAGAGCGUCCGUUUCACCAGGAUCAGACGACUGCUGUGACAUGAUUGCUCAUUGAUUUCGCGGCGCCUAAUUUGAUUGAUUUAGACUCUGUUGAAACAUCAAAUCAUCAUUAGUCGCAAUUUAAAAUCUCCUUGCGUUAAUUCAAUUCCAACCGCGAGCUAUAAUUUUAAUGCGAUUUUGCCGUUGACACGCUCCUCAUCGAUUUUUGUCUGAACUUGAAAAAACAAAUUGUACACUGGAGGAGAGACACACAGUCUAAGGAGGUGCUCCUAUACCAGAUGGGGAGGGGGGUUAUAUUAGCUAAGCAAUAUACUAUGUACAUUGGAAAAAGAAAGGCGAGUAUCGAGAGAAGAGCCGGAACUGCGCUGGGAUAGAGAUAAGUAGAGUUCCGGAGCUGGCUAAAAGCUCCUAUAGUGAUAGCUUCGUAUAUACAGCUCCUUGUUGCAAAAUAUAUAUAUCACUCUCGCCGCCACCGCUGCCACCGCCUUCGGGGUAAACCCAGUAUGCCAGAUAGCCUCAAGUCUAUUAUCUAUUCACGAAAGGAAAAUGUGUCUAGCCAAAUGGAAUGGACUUUUUUUCUUGUGUGUGCAGUACACGGCACCAACUCCCCUUGGGUGAUGGAUUGAUGGAUCCUCCCGCUUUUGGCCAAUGGCAACAGCAGUCUCAGCAAUAACCCUUUGAACUUUUUCUCUUAUUACUUUGUCUGUUGGCCCGUGCGGGAGUUAUCUACUGACCUCACCCAUAAAACAUAAACAAAAAGAAAACGGGAAUCGAGUUCGGGAUUCCGUUUCUUUGACUCACAAAUCAUGGCAUUAAUAAUAAUAGCUUUGCCAGUUAUUUAUUGGCGGGUAGAAAUCACAAUUUCAUCCGUGCAAGAGGCCCUUAAUAGUUGUCCUCAAGUUGCGGGUGUCGUCGACGACAAAGAUGCGCUAAUAAACAAAGAUAUCGGGAGUGGGUGGCGUCUAGACGAAAAGGGAAUUAACUGGGCCAAUCUCUUUUUGUCCACCAGGAGUCAUUCUUCUUACAAAGGCUGUCUCCUUUUUCUUUUGCCGAGCCUAUUGCAGCAAGUUAAUCCUUCAAGUGUGAGGGAGCUGGAAAAAGCACUUUGAAAAUGUUGCAGCGAGCACACGUCCUGUAACGACCGUCUAGCUCUUAUUCUCACUGGUACAUGAAAGAGUAAGAAAAGGCUUUCCCGAUUCCCAGAAGAAUAGACGUCAUUCUUCCCCCCCCCCCUUUUUUAUAUACAUUUUUCCUUUAGAGGACAUUGAAUUUUUCACGAGCCAUUGUGUAUAAUAGAUUACGUAGGCCUAUUUAUACACGCGAAGAACAGAAGCUUAACUGAUAAAAAACCCCCCGUAUUUUUGAGCUACCAUCAAAGUUUGAUUGGCUGAUGGAGGCGUUUACCUGCAUAUGGACAGAAACGAUUUCUGCCGGCCUAUAUUAACCCGGGUCGAUAUUACACAACCCAAAUGAUUUCCGUCGAAAUACUAUAAACAGAACAGAGCCGAAAAAAAAAUGAGUUAUAAGUUGUAGAACUUACGUGUGAGCUUAAUGGACGAUAGAUAAUGAUGAAAAGUUUUUCGCUACGUCGCCUGUUAAUGUUGUUGCCAAUUGUGUUGGCCGGGCGACAAUCAUUCCAGCU